AUUCCUACGGGAGGCAGCAGUGGGGAAUCUUGCGCAAUGGGCGAAAGCCUGACGCAGCCAUGCCGCGUGAAUGAUGAAGGUCUUAGGAUUGUAAAAUUCUUUCACCGGGGACGAUAAUGACGGUACCCGGAGAAGAAGCCCCGGCUAACUUCGUGCCAGCAGCCGCGGUAAUACGAAGGGGGCUAGCGUUGCUCGGAAUUACUGGGCGUAAAGGGAGCGUAGGCGGACAUUUAAGUCAGGGGUGAAAUCCCGGGGCUCAACCUCGGAAUUGCCUUUGAUACUGGAUGUCUUGAGUGUGAGAGAGGUAUGUGGAACUCCGAGUGUAGAGGUGAAAUUCGUAGAUAUUCGGAAGAACACCAGUGGCGAAGGCGACAUACUGGCUCAUUACUGACGCUGAGGCUCGAAAGCGUGGGGAGCAAACAGGAUUAGAUACCCUGGUAGUCCACGCCGUAAACGAUGAUUGCUAGUUGUCGGGAUGCAUGCAUUUCGGUGACGCAGCUAACGCAUUAAGCAAUCCGCCUGGGGAGUACGGUCGCAAGAUUAAAACUCAAAGGAAUUGACGGAAU
rnacentral:rRNA from 1 species